rnacentral:rRNA from 1 species
UACGUAGGUGGCAAGCGUUGUCCGGAUUUAUUGGGCGUAAAGAGCGUGUAGGCGGCCUGACAAGUCUGCUGUGAAAACUCGAGGCUCAACCUCGAGAUGUCGGCGGAAACUGUCUGGCUAGAGUCCGGAAGAGGAGAGUGGAAUUCCUGGUGUAGCGGUGAAAUGCGCAGAUAUCAGGAGGAACACCAAUGGCGAAGGCAGCACUCUGGGACGUGACUGACGCUGAGACGCGAAAGCGUGGGGAGCAAACAGG